UUACAUUUAAGCUGUCUUAUUAUUUACUGAGGAAAGAGAAAGUGGAGGAGAUUUUGCUAUUAAUGUGGGAGUGAAUGAUUAGUAGUAAUCCAAUUCCUUUUCACUGUUCGUGGGGCUUAAAACUCAAGCUUUUUUGCUGUUUGGGUACCAAAAAAGAUGAUUCAUCCAGCUAUGUAUAGCCAUUUCACCCCUAUAUGUCAAUUGAAAAAUCCAACCCUUGACUGAG
rnacentral:lncRNA from 1 species